rnacentral:lncRNA from 1 species
GGUUUUAUACCAUUCUGUAACUUUUUAUAUGCUUAAUAUUUUAAUAAUCUAACCAUCAUAUUUCAUGCUCCAUUCAUGUAGAUCAUGCAUGUCAAGUGUUGACACCAUUUUUUUGAUGAAAACGAGGUCGACUUGGAUUUUGAAAAUAGAAUGAAAACGGGAGUCGCCACCAAUCUUUUUUUUGAUAAGGUGUGAUCGGGU